UUUCCGUAGGUGAGCCUGCGGAAGGAUCAUUAUUGUAUAACCGAGGUGCGAGGGCUGUCGCUGACCCGAAAGGUCGUGCACGCCCGAGUGCCCUCACACGCAUCCAUCUCACCCCUAUGUGCACCACCGCGUGGGUCCCCCUUUGGCUUGUUCGGAGGGGGGCUUACGUUUUCACACAAACUUUGUAUGCAGUGUAGAAUGUAUUUUUUGUUUUUGCGAUCACGCAAUCAAUACAACUUUCAACAACGGAUCUCUUGGCUCUC
rnacentral:misc_RNA from 1 species